GUGUCAGCAGCCGCGGUAACACGUAGGAGCCAAGCGUUAUCCGAAUUCACUGGGCGUAAAGCGCGUGUAGGCGGCUCGGUAAGUUGGAUGUGAAAUCUCCUGGCUCAACUGGGAGAGGACGUUCAAUACUGUCGGGCUAGAGGACGGCAGAGGGAGGUGGAAUUCCCGGUGUAGUGGUGAAAUGCGUAGAUAUCGGGAGGAACACCAGUGGCGAAGGCGGCCUUCUGGGCCGAACCUGACGCUCAGACGCGAAAGCUAGGGGAGCGAACGGGAUUAGAUACCCCCGUAGUCC
rnacentral:rRNA from 1 species